rnacentral:rRNA from 1 species
GACGAACGCUGGCGGCGUGCCUAAUACAUGCAAGUCGAGCGAAUUUUGGGAGCUUGCUCCCAAAGGUUAGCGGCGGACGGGUGAGUAACACGUGGGCAACCUGCCUAUAAGACUGGGAUAACUUCGGGAAACCGGAGCUAAUACCAGAUAACUUCAAUGGUCACAUGAUCAUUGACUAAAGAUGGCUUCGGCUAUCACUUAUAGAUGGACCCGCGGCGCAUUAGCUAGUUGGUAAGGUAAUGGCUUACCAAGGCGACGAUGCGUAGCCGACCUGAGAGGGUGAUCGGCCACACUGGGACUGAGACACGGCCCAGACACCUACGGGAGGCAG